GAAAGCUGUCAGAUUAAUGCAUUCCCUCAUGCAGGACAGCUUGCUUUAUUGCCCGUUAUUAAGAUAUAACGUAUAUAACCUGACAAGCACUGCCCACGUCUGCAAUCCACCAGUGAAAGGCAAAUUAAGUAGAAAAUGGAGAUCUCCAAUAUUUCUUGGGGCUCAAGUGAUAUUAGUUUUUAACUCAUUUUGUAUUCAGAGGGGAUUCUGCCUAUUCACAACACAUCUGACAGAGUAAACUGCCCAAAGAAGGCUUUUUUUGAUUCACAGAACAGCUACAUCUGAUUUCUGAUACAAACUGAUUUCAGAGUCACAGGAGUCAAUUCCCCUUGCAUAAAUGUGUGCCAACAAAGAAGGAAAAAAAAAAACAAAAAACGACAAAUUAGUUGGAUGGUGCAAGAAACCAGUGAGAAAGCAAUUCCUGGGGGAAGUGCAGUGCAAAGUGAGUAAGUGAGAUGAGUAAACCCCAUCCUAAAACAACCCAAGAAACAAUCCUUAUGGCCUCGAGGCUCCAAACCCCAGUGCUCACGCUGUCCCAGGAAGGGCUCCCAAAUAAAGUGGUUACAGCUGCUGGAGGACACCAGGCACAGCUGGUAACACCUUAAGCUAAGUUGGUCCCUUUUCUGUGGUGCACGUAUUCAAGCUAAUGGCAAGACACGUGUGUUCUUUUUCCUUUUCACAAUGAUUUGUUGUCCAGAAUAUCCCACAUCGUCCCCCUAACAGCAUCCAACUGAGACUUUCCAGGGAACUGCUUGAAAGCCUCAAGUGAGUCUUGAUGUUGCACUUAGGACUGUUAGUAAGCUUGGUGCAAGGUCCCAACACUGCAAACCUCACCUCAUACAAGUGAUGUUAUUCAUGUUUUUUCAUUAUUGCUUAAUCUGAUUUUUUUUUUUCCCCAAGGACUGAAUUCCUGAACUCGAUGAAUGACAGAAACUGCUCUGGAGAAGUCAACAAGAGCAAAUGAAAAUGCAUCAUCACAACACUGAAUUAAGAGUGAAGGAAAACACUGUCGGUAAAAUGCUGGAUAGACUGAAGAUAUUCAAGGUUGAUGGACCAGAGCCUCUUGCAUCCAUACCUGUGACAGAUGAAAAAGGGCACAAUUGCAUUCAGUACCUAGAGGAGUAGUAAAAGAAGUGAACAUGGAUAUAAGUGUUUUACCUAACUUUAAUCUGAAGUGGCAGAAUCUGUGAUAGUAUAUUCUGCUGACUGUUGAGUAUUGUCAUCAUUUACUGUUUUUAACAUUACCCCUCAAUUUGGAGUCUGUCAUUAUCUAGGUCAACGGAUUAUGCCAAUACAUAGUAUGGGAAAGGGGAGAACUAGUCAGAAUGAGAAAAUUAUGGAGCUGUGUUGGAAGAUGUUCCACAAGUGCUAAUUGAACAAGUCUGUCAUUACUGUUAAUUACAGAAAGUGUCCUAUUUUAAACACCAGGAGCUGCAUUCCGUCAAAAGCCUGAAGCAAGAGCAAUAUCAGCUUCUCUUCUGGUCUUAGAUCCAGAGCACACACCUGGCAGAGAUGUACAAACUUGACAAGCAGGUAAGUCGGGGGUUUCCCAAUGCAAUCUGAAACUAUAAUGGCAAUAGUAAAUGGAUGGCAAAAAAUGCAAGGCCACUGGAAUGACAUAUGUGAUGAUCCAUCACCAAUCCAGGAUCCUCACCCUGAAUCCAUCUAAAUGACAGUGGCCUCUCAGUACCUUCCAGCUCCGUGCUACACGCUGCCACCCUCGGGCCAUGCUCCCUAAUGCCAUGCUGUGCUGAAAAAAGCUCUGAGGGACACAACCAUCUGGCUGCCUUCCACAAUGCCUGCUGCUCUGCUGCUUUCAAUGUCAUUUGUUGGAUAUUCUGCUUGACAACCCAGCUUUCUGUUAACCGCAGUGCCCUUGCUUCUAGGGAUAAAAAACGACACCCCUAAAUGCUUUACUUGGGUAAAAUUAACCAGCAUUAUCAAAAUUGAGCUUAUUGGUAGGUUUUUAGUAGAGGAAACCUGAGAAUGCUGUGGGAGACAAAGUAUGCAAUUUGGAACUGUACACUGGAUUCCUUUUGUUUGGCUACCUAUUGUGAAACCAGGUAUGCUUUCAGCAUUUAUUUCUUGACAGCACACCCAGAACAAUGCACAGUCAUAUCUUCAUAUAAACUUUUAUACAGGUGUCACAUGAGCUCCAGCUGUACACUGAUGAAGAACAUUCUCAGUAAUUCUCAUAAGCAUAAACAAUGUAUUUAAAUACUUGUAUGUUUGUGCACUGAUCAGCUCUGGCAUAGAUGUAGCAAUGUAACUUCUAAGAGAGGGAGCAAAUUCCACAGAAUUAAGAAGAAAAAGGUUUGAGAAUAUCGAUUUCUAGCCUGCUACUAAAAAAAUAUACUUACCCAGCAAUAGGAAGCAUCAGUGUAUCAUUAAUGGCAAAAGGACUAUGGUUUGUGAGAUACACUUUGAAUAUGAUUUUAAAGUACAGAAAUGAGACAGUUAUGAAAUGUGCAAGGCAGGAAGUUUAGAGGAUGCAAACAGAUGAGGUAAGGAAUGGAGAAUUGCUUCCAGGUUCUCCUACAGUUGUUUUUUGGGUUGGUU